UACCUGCAGCUCAAGUGGUGACCGCUAUUAUUGGGCCUAAAACGUUCGUAGCCGGCUGAGUAAAUGCUUGGGUAAAUCGUGCCGCUUAACGGUACGAAUUCCGGGUAGACUGCUUAGCUUGAGACCGGGAGAAGCUAGAGGUACUCCUGGGGUAGAGGUGAAAUUCUGUAAUCCUGGGGGGACCACCAGUGGCGAAGGCGUCUAGCUAGAACGGGUCUGACGGUGAGGGACGAAACCCUGGGGCGCGAACCGGAUUAGAUACCCGGGUAGUCCAGGGCGCAAACGCUGCUUGCUUGAUGUUAGCUGGGCUCCGAGCUCAGCUAGUGUCGGAGAGAAGUUGUUAAGCAAGCUGCCUGGGAAUACGAUCGCAAGAUUGAAACUUAAAGGAAUUGGCGGGGGAGCACAGCAACGGGUGGAGCGUGCGGUUU
rnacentral:rRNA from 1 species